rnacentral:rRNA from 1 species
ACCAUGUAUUGCUCAGUAGCGGCGAGUGAGCGGCAAAAGCUCAAAUUUGAAAUCUGGCGUCUUUGGCGUCCGAGUUGUAAUUUGAAGAAGGUAUCUUUGGGCCCGGCUCUUGUCUAUGUUCCUUGGAACAGGACGUCACAGAGGGUGAGAAUCCCGUGCGAUGAGAUGACCCGGGUCUGUGUAAAGUUCCUUCGACGAGUCGAGUUGUUUGGGAAUGCAGCUCUAAGUGGGUGGUAAAUUCCAUCUAAAGCUAAAUAUUGGCGAGAGACCGAUAGCGAACAAGUACAGUGAUGGAAAGAUGAAAAGAACUUUGAAAAGAGAGUGAAAAAGUACGUGAAAUUGUUGAAAGGGAAGGGCUUGAGAUCAGACUUGGUAUUUUGCAUGCUGCUCUCUCGGGGGCGGCCGCUGCGGUUUACCGGGCCAGCAUCGGUUUGGAGCGGCAGGAUAAUGGCGGAGGAAUGUGGCACGGCUUCUGCUGUGUGUUAUAGCCUCUGACGAUGCUGCCAGCCUAGACCGAGGACUGCGGUUUUUAACCUAGGAUGUUGGCAUAAUGAUCUUAAGUCGCGAGCCAUGAAAAAACGGACCAA